rnacentral:rRNA from 1 species
UACGAAGGGGGCUAGCGUUGUUCGGAAUCACUGGGCGUAAAGCGUACGUAGGCGGACCAUUAAGUCGGGGGUGAAAUCCCAGGGCUCAACCCUGGAACUGCCUUCGAUACUGGUGGUCUGGAGUCCGGGAGAGGUGAGUGGAACUCCUAGUGUAGAGGUGGAAUUCGUAGAUAUUAGGAAGAACACCAGUGGCGAAGGCGGCUCACUGGCCCGGUACUGACGCUGAGGUACGAAAGCGUGGGGAGCAAACAGG